GUGGAUGCCUUGGCACUAGGAGCCGAAGAAGGACGGGACUAACACCGAUAUGCUUUGGGGAGCUGUACGUAAGCGUUGAUCCAGAGAUUUCCGAAUGGGGGAACCCACUAUCUUUAGUCGGAUAGUAUCCUUACGUGAAUACAUAGCGUGAGGAAGGCAGACCCAGGGAACUGAAACAUCUAAGUACCUGGAGGAAGAGAAAGAAAAAUCGAUUUCCUGAGUAGCGGCGAGCGAAACGGAAAGAGCCCAAACCAAGAAGCUUGCUUCUUGGGGUUGUAGGACACUCUAUACGGAGUUACAAAAGAAAGUUAUAAAUGAAGCGGUCUGGAAAGGCCCGCCAAAGACGGUAACAGCCCGGUAGUUGAAAUGGCUUUCCCUCC
rnacentral:rRNA from 1 species